rnacentral:rRNA from 1 species
UUGAUUCUGGCUCAGGAUGAACGCUAGCUACAGGCUUAACACAUGCAAGUCGAGGGGAAACGACAUCGAAAGCUUGCUUUUGAUGGGUGUCGACCGGCGCACGGGUGAGUAACGCGUAUCCAACCUGCCCAUCACUUGGGGAUAACCUUGCGAAAGUAAGACUAAUACCCAAUGAUAUCUCAAGAAGACAUCUGAAUGAGAUUAAAAAUUUAUCGGUGAUGGAUGGGGAUGCGUCUGAUUAGCUUGUUGGCGGGGUAACGGCCCACCAAGGCGACGAUCAGUAGGGGUUCUGAGAGGAAGGUCCCCCACAUUGGAACUGAGACACGGUCCAAACUCCUACGGGAGGCAGCAGUGAGGAAUAUUGGUCAAUGGGCGAGAGCCUGAACCAGCCAAGUAGCGUGCAGGAUGACGGCCCUAUGGGUUGUAAACUGCUUUUAUAAGGGAAUAAAGUGAGUCUCGUGAGACUUUUUGCAUGUACCUUAUGAAUAAGGACCGGCUAAUUCCGUGCCAGCAGCCGCGGUAAUACGGAAGGUCCGGGCGUUAUCCGGAUUUAUUGGGUUUAAAGGGAGCGUAGGCCGGAGAUUAAGCGUGUUGUGAAAUGUAGAUGCUCAACAUCUGCACUGCAGCGCGAACUGGUUUCCUUGAGUA